GGUUUUGUGUGUCUGUAUGUGGUGUGAAAAUCUGGAACAGUCUGAGUUUACAACUGAAACAAUGCAAAAAUAUUCAUAGAUUUAAAUUUCUCUACAAACAGUUGGUCUGGUCACAGUAUAAUCAAUGAUGGUGUUAGUGUGCUCUGAAAUGUCUGUUCUCUUACCAUUGCUGGCAUGGAUUCCAAGGGGAAAAAAAAAAAAAAAAAAAAAAAAGUUUGUGUGUAUGUAUGUAUAUAUAUGUACAUGUGUGUGUAGAUAUAUAUGUAUGUAUGUAUAUGUAUGUGUGUUUGUUACUUGUAAUUAUUAUUGCCUGUUACCUGUGGUAACGCAAUUUAUAAUUAAUAUAUUCUGUAUUCAGUUAUGAAGGUUCUAUUUGUUUUGCUUGGGCGUAGCUGCGGGAAGUUUAUUGUUUUUGUUGAUAAGUGAAUAUAGGGGUGGGAUUUAAUAAGUUUUCUUCAUCCCACUCCUUUUCAGGUACAUUUUGUUGUUUGUUUUU